rnacentral:rRNA from 1 species
AGAGUUUGAUCAUGGCUCAGAUUGAACGCUGGCGGCAGGCCUAACACAUGCAAGUCGAGCGGUAGCACAGAGAGCUUGCUCUCGGGUGACGAGCGGCGGACGGGUGAGUAAUGUCUGGGAAACUGCCUGAUGGAGGGGGAUAACUACUGGAAACGGUAGCUAAUACCGCAUAAUGUCGCAAGACCAAAGUGGGGGACCUUCGGGCCUCAUGCCAUCAGAUGUGCCCAGAUGGGAUUAGCUAGUAGGUGGGGUAACGGCUCACCUAGGCGACGAUCCCUAGCUGGUCUGAGAGGAUGACCAGCCACACUGGAACUGAGACACGGUCCAGACUCCUACGGGAGGCAGCAGUGGGGAAUAUUGCACAAUGGGCGCAAGCCUGAUGCAGCCAUGCCGCGUGUGUGAAGAAGGCCUUCGGGUUGUAAAGCACUUUCAGCGGGGAGGAAGGCGNNNNNNNNNNNNNNNNNNNNNNCGAUUGACGUUACCCGCAGAAGAAGCACCGGCUAACUCCGUGCCAGCAGCCGCGGUAAUACGGAGGGUGCAAGCGUUAAUCGGAAUUACUGGGCGUAAAGCGCACGCAGGCGGUCUGUCAAGUCGGAUGUGAAAUCCCCGGGCUCAACCUGGGAACUGCAUUCGAAACUGGCAGGCUAGAGUCUUGUAGAGGGGGGUAGAAUUCCAGGUGUAGCGGUGAAAUGCGUAGAGAUCUGGAGGAAUACCGGUGGCGAAGGCGGCCCCCUGGACAAAGACUGACGCUCAGGUGCGAAAGCGUGGGGAGCAAACAGGAUUAGAUACCCUGGUAGUCCACGCCGUAAACGAUGUCGAUUUGGAGGUUGUGCCCUUGAGGCGUGGCUUCCGGAGCUAACGCGUUAAAUCGACCGCCUGGGGAGUACGGCCGCAAGGUUAAAACUCAAAUGAAUUGACGGGGGCCCGCACAAGCGGUGGAGCAUGUGGUUUAAUUCGAUGCAACGCGAAGAACCUUACCUGGUCUUGACAUCCACAGAACUUUCCAGAGAUGGAUUGGUGCCUUCGGGAACUGUGAGACAGGUGCUGCAUGGCUGUCGUCAGCUCGUGUUGUGAAAUGUUGGGUUAAGUCCCGCAACGAGCGCAACCCUUAUCCUUUGUUGCCAGCGGUCCGGCCGGGAACUCAAAGGAGACUGCCAGUGAUAAACUGGAGGAAGGUGGGGAUGACGUCAAGUCAUCAUGGCCCUUACGACCAGGGCUACACACGUGCUACAAUGGCAUAUACAAAGAGAAGCGACCUCGCGAGAGCAAGCGGACCUCAUAAAGUAUGUCGUAGUCCGGAUUGGAGUCUGCAACUCGACUCCAUGAAGUCGGAAUCGCUAGUAAUCGUAGAUCAGAAUGCUACGGUGAAUACGUUCCCGGGCCUUGUACACACCGCCCGUCACACCAUGGGAGUGGGUUGCAAAAGAAGUAGGUAGCUUAACCUUCGGGAGGGCGCUUACCACUUUGUGAUUCAUGACUGGGGUGAAGUCGUAACAAGGUAACCGUAGGGGAACCUGCGGUUGGAUCACCU